UUACCAGCCAGCCUGCCUGGUUGAUUUCUCCAGAUGUUUUGUGACCUCAUCUCUUAUUAAUGCCUCGAGGACUCUGCCUGCCACCGGGGUCAGAGGUGCUGCCUCCUCGCUGGUCAGCCCCCCAGUCCCUUUCCUAGAGACGGGAGUUUGCCGUCUCUCGUCUGUCAGCGUCUCUCAUUUCCAAAAGAUCCCUUUAAAAACAUCUGUUGUUGGAGGAGCAAUCACUUCCCUCGCCUUGUGAAUGACUACGGACAGAGCGAAGAGCCCUGGCAGGCGUCAGAUCAGCGACCCUGACGUCCUGGAUGAAUCAGGAAAUGGCGUUUAACCCUCCGAGCAGCGUCUUGUCUCGUGCGCUCUUCCCUCCGUGAACUGCUGAACUCCAGGCAGAAAAGUAAAGGGAACGAAGCACACUUGCCCGCAGGAGAACUUGCAGCUGGGCCGCUGGUGUGGCUGGAGUUGCAAUCUGGGGGAUUUUUCCUUUUCGUACCCUUUGAGACGUCACUGGGGAGAGUCUCUUCUUUGCCUGAACCAUUCUGCCUGAAAAUCGCAGCCUGGAGAGAAGCGGCUCCUGGGAUUGGAGGUACAGCCUGGACCAUGCUGGGCUUUGGUCCCUCCACCUGAUCCUCACACACAAAGCUGGAACCCAGCGCAUCCUAAACCUUGAGUUUCUCCUUCCCACCACAAUGUGUGCAUUUUAAAUGAAUAUUUUAGGUUAAAGAGGCAUGCCCUGAGGGACUCUUUGCAAAGGGGAAGUGGGAUUUGAGUAAGCCAGCAACCUCCACACCCAGGGAGACUCCUUCCAGUUACCGGAGACCCUAUUUAGGACGCCAAGACUAUGCUGCUGUCAUCUCCUUGAGUUCUCCAGCAAAACGUCUGUUUCUAGAGGCCAGCAAGGUGUUUGUCAUUUCUACUCGAGUUGUAGUUAGUCAGGAAAAUCACAGGGAAAGGUUUGAACUAAAUAUGCCGGUAGGAAGAAAACCCCCAGGCACUUGGCACUUUGUUUGCAGGAUGGUCCUUCACAAACAGACAAUCUACUGGCCCAAGUGACCUCCUUGCCUGUGGCCUGGGAGGAGAGCUCAUCUCCACCAGGAACUUGGUACCCAGGUCACCGUCCCACAUCAGUCCUCCCAGACCUUGAAAAUGGCCGCCUCCAUCCUAAGUAACAGCGUUUAGGGCGUGCAAGGCAAGAUCUGAAUUACAAUCCCUAAGCCUUCCAAUUUGAAAUUGAAUUUAGGUUAUGGCCAUCAAAAUCUGGCAAAGGAGACCUCUAGGUAAUUCCACCUGUUGAAUAAUUUUUCCCUCCAAAACAGCACUGUCACAAGUAGCGUUGACAGGUUCCCUGGUGACAGCAUGGACGCACGGGGUGACAGGAGGCUGUGGAAUGUUGAGAGUAACAGCGUAGACAACAGGCGAUCGAUGCUUCCGAGGGUGAAGGAGCUCGUCUCUAAUUUUCAAGGGCUGUGCUUUGUUUCCCUGAGGCUAACUAGCUGUGAUGGGCCCACAGGCAAUCACAUUUGCUCUUAAACUUUAGCUAGUCAACAGGAACAGUGUUCCAGGAAUAGGCCCCUUUCAGUGCUGUUAUCCGUAUCCUAAAAAUCCUCAGCAGACACUUCUCCUCUAUCUCUAGAGUGGUUGAAGUUGGAGACAGGUCUAUACCCCCGGUCUGAGGAGCGGGGGACGCCGUGCCCUCAGCCCGCACCCCGCGGUGUGCCUGCCCAGCUCCCCCUCCGCUUUCCUGGCUGCUCCUUUCCCAGGCUGCAUUCAGCUCUGGAAAUUGACAAACGGUUCGACUCCUGCACCUUCUAAACGGGGUCACUUAAGAGCUUUUUACCCGGCCUCUCCUGCACGGACAGAUUGCCAGCUUAACUGCUCUGCCUGGAGUCACUAACAUGCCUUGGAUCUCCUGUCUGAGGGAAGCAAGCCAAACCCAGCAUCUUGCGACUGCAGAGGACACCACCACUUCCCCAGGAAGUGCAGACCCGUGAACCACAGCUGUGAUUCGCUUCCAUCUAUUGUCUGAAUUCCAGUUACCUGACACCUUCAAGUUGGAGCUUUCCUUCUCUCUCUCUAAUCCCAGCAAAACAUGUUUCUGAAGCAAAUGCUGCUUUUUCCUGAGAAUGAAUACUGCAUUUUCCCUAAAACAGGUGAAGGCAAAUGCCCUCUUGUUAUCAAGACGGUGAGGUUCCCACGGAGCCCGGAGGCUCUGGCAUCUGCACCACCAGCCUCGUUCGGCACCAAAUCCAGUUCGUGUUUUCCGUGCUUUUGAGAGAUGCGCUCUCCUCCGUGAUUGUGGCGGUAAUUACGCAAAUGAUCUGCUCCACUGUCACUUCUAGUCAAAGGUGCCACCUAAAAUUAAAAAUUCAUGCAAAAGAUGCAACUUUUAAGCAGCCAGUGGAGACCUGAUCUGAUUUUACAAUCCAUGUUUUACUUAACCCCUUCGCGUCCCUUGGCUGUGGGAGGUGUGGGGCUGCUGGCGACUUCGUGGGCCACUGGGAGAUGCCUAAGUGUGUUCACUCGGGCUACGGCCGCAAAAUCCCACUGGCUGGGCAGCUUAAAUAACAGAAAUUUAUUGUCUCAAAACUCUGGUGGCUGUAAGCCAAGACCAGGCUGUCAGCAGGGUUUUUUUUAUUCCUGAGGUCUCUUUCCUUGGCUUGUGGAUGGCCAUCCUCUCCCUCUGUUUUCACAUGGUCUUCCUGUGUGUGUGUGUCUGCCUCCUAAUUUCUUAUUUUUAUAAGGACUUGGGUCUUAUUGGAUUAAGGCCCACCCUAAUGGCCUCUUUUUAACUUCGUUACUACUAUACAGACUCUGUCUCCAAAUGCAGUCACAUCCUGAGGUUCUGGGUUUAAGAGGCAGAAUUUCGGGGGAAGCAACUCAGCCCAUAAAAGUGUCCCACUCCCCUCUAAGGCAGACCAAGUGGGCAGGUCCAGCCGCCCGGAGGCAUCUCUGUUUCUGGUGGAUCCAGGUUCACAAGACCACCGUUGGAUUCAAGUCACAAGAAAUUCUAUUCCUAACUAUGGUGAAUCAGGGGGCUUCGCUUCUGAAAAAUUUCUUGGACAUCUUAAAUAUUGGGGUUUGCCAAGCCAGGGUGAGGCUAAGAUGCUUACUUUUAUAACAGCAUCUUCCAUUUGUUUGGGCUUUAAGAUAUUGAUGGAUCCAUGCAUGACAGGUGAAGCAUAUUAUUGUUAUUAUUACCAAUUUUAAUUUUGCAAAUAUUUAAAGUAACAUACAGCAAAGUUAAACCCGGGGGGCAAUUAGUGUAUGUCUAUGAGUUUUCACAUAUACGAAGUCAUGUAACCAACACCUCAAUCAGGAUAACACGACAGUUCUAUCACCUUCUCCCCAACCCCCAGAUUUCCUCCUGUUGUCCCAUAGUAGUCAGGUCCUCCACACACCUACUGAUAAGUUCUUAAUCCUUAUAGUUUAACUUUUGUGAGAAUGCCGUAUCCAUGGAACCAUGUCAUAUGUAACUUUUGGAGAAUUGCCUCUUCAACCCAGUGUGAUGCCUUUGACUUUCAACCAUGUUGGAUGUAUCAAUAACUUACUCUUUUUUAUUGCCGAGUAGUAUUCCACUGCAUGAAUGGACCUCAUCUGGUUCAUCCGUUCACCCACUGAAAGUUAAUUUGUGUCAGUCUCAGUUUUCAGUGAUUAGAAAUAAAACUGCUGUAAAUAUCCGCAUAUAGGUUUCAAUGCGAACUUCUGUUUUCCUUUCUUUUGAGAAAAAUCUAGAAGCAAGAUGGCUGGUUCAUAUGCAAGUGUAUAUUAAGCUUUAUAAGAGACUGUCAACCUUUCCAGAGUGGCCAAGCUAUUUUGCACUUAUACCAGCAACGUCUAAGAGUUCUGGGUGCCUUGUAUUAUACAGCACUUGGUAUUGUCAACAUUUUUCUUUCUUUUUUUUUUCUCUACUCUAAUAGGUUUAUAGUUUGUGGGUUUGAUAUGCAUUUCUCUGCUGGCUAAUGAUGUUGCUUAUCCUUUCAUGGGCUUAUUUGCCAUUUGUAUGUUUUCUUUGAUGAAGUGCCGUUUCGAACUCUUUGCCCAUUUCUUGACUGAGUUGCUUGUUUUCUUACCAUCUCAUUCCGAUGGUGCAUCAUGUGUCCUACCUCAGCCUGUGGCUUAGCCUUUAACUCUCUUGUUUGAGUAUUAUCUGAAAGUUCAGCCUAACCUAAAGUCGUGAUUAUUUUUCCAGUGUUUUUUUUUUCUAAAAGCCUUAUAAUUUUGUACUUUAUAUUUAGAGCUGUAAUCUAUAUUGAGUUAGUUUUUGUAUAAUGUAUGGGAUAUAUAUUGAAAUUAAUACUUUUGCAUGUGAAUGUACAACUGUACAUAGAAAGACUAUCCUUUCUCUACUGAAUUGCCUUUGUACCUUGGUCAAAAAUCAAUUGACUUCCCAGGUGGGUUCACUGGUAAAUCCUACGAAACUUUAAAGGAGGAAAUUAUACCAAUCCUCUAUAAUCUUUUCCAGAGGAUAAAGCAGAAGGAAUACUUCCUAACUCAUUCUGAAGCAGCAUUAUCCUAAUACCAAAACCAGGUGAAGACAUUGCAAGAAAAGAAAAUUACAGAGAAGUACCUUUUAUAAAAAUAGAAGCAAAAAUUCUCAACAAAAUAUUAGCAAAUAGAAUCGAAAAAAGUAUAAAAAUAUACACUACAACCAAGUGGGAUUUAUCCCAGGUAUGCGAGGCUGGGUCAGCACGCAGAAUCAUACAUGUAACCCAACAUAUCAACAGGCUGAAAAAGAAAAAUCACAUGAUCAUUCAAUAGACGCAAUAAAAGCAUUUGACAAAAUCCGAUACCCUUUCAUGAUAAAAAUUCUCAGUAAACUAGGAGUAGCGAGGAACCUCCUCAAGCUGAUUAAGAACGUCUACAAAAUCCCUAAGGCUAACGUAAUACUUGAUAGUGAGAAACUUGAAACUUUCCCAAUAAGAUCACAUACUAGGCAAGGAGGUCUCCUCUCACCACUCCCUUUCAACACUGGACUGGAUGUCCUUGUUAAUGCAAUAAAGUAGGAAAAAGGAAUAAAAUGUAUACAUUGUGAGAAGGAAGAAAUAAAAAGGUCUUUGCAGAUGGUGUGACAAUCUAUGCAGAAAAUCCAAAAGAAUUAAUUGAAAAAUAUCCUCCUGGAACUAAUAAGUGAUUAUAGAAAAGCUACAAUUGCUUUCUUACAUACUAGUUAUUAACAGGUAGAAUUUGAAAUUAAAAACACAAUACCAUUUACAUUGGCACUGAAAAACUGAGUAUCUAGUUAUAAAUCUAAUAAGAUAUGUAAAAAAAUGUGAUUAAAACUGCAAAACUGGUGGAUUAAGUCAGAGUUCAAUAAAUGGAAAUAUAUUUCAGGUUCAUGGAUAUGAAGAGUCAAUAUUGUCAAGCUGUCAGUUCUUCCCAACUUGACGUAUCAACUCAAUGCAAUCUCAAAUAAAAUCACAGCAAGAUAUUUUGUGGAUAUUGACAAACUAAAGUUUAUGUGGAGAGGCAAAAGACCCAGAAGAGACAAUCAGUACUGAAGGAGAAGAGCAAAGUUGGUGAACUGACACUUCCUGACUUUAAGACUUGCUGCGAAGUCACAGUAAUCAACACAGUGUGGUAUCGGUGAAAGAACAGACAAAGAUAUCAGUGGAACAGACUAUAAAGCCUCCAGACAGACCCGCACAAAGACAGUCAGCUGGUCUUUGACAAAGGACCAAAAAUGAAAACAUAUGUCCACACAAAAACCUGUGACUGAAUGUUUAAUGCUGCUUUAUUCAUAAUUGCCAAAACCUGGAAGCAAACAACAUGUCCUUUAGUAGGUGAAUGGAUAAAUAAGCCGGGGCACACCCAGACAACAGAAAACUAUUCAGUGAAAACAAAUGAGCUAUCUAGCCAUGAAAAGACAUAGAGGAAAUCUUACAUGCAUAUUCUUAAGUGAGAGAAGUCAAUCCGAAAAGGCUGUUUACUGUAUGAUUUCAACAAUAUGAUAUUCUGGAAAAGGCAAAGUCCUACAGACAGUAAAAAGAUCAGUGGUUGCCAGGGGAUUGAGGUUGGGGAGAUGAAGAGGCAGAGCAGGGAGGAUUUUAAGGCAGUGAAAAUACUCUGUAUGAUAUUAUAAUGAUGGAUACAUGUCAUCACAUAUUUGUCUGAACCGUAGACUAUACAACACCAAGAAUGAAUCGUGAGGUAAACUGUAGAAUUUAGGUGAUCGUGGUGUGCCAGUGUAGGUUCAUCCUUCGUUAAAAGCUGUCCCAGUCGGUGGUUGAUGAUGGGGAAGGUUGUGUGUGUGGUGGGGGAGCAGGGCAAGAGGUAUAUAGGAAAUCUCUGUAUUCCUUCUCAAUUUUGGUGUAAACCUAAAACUGUUCUAAAAAAAAUAAAGUCUUUAAAAAGUC